rnacentral:misc_RNA from 1 species
AACUUUCUGCAACGGAUCACUUGGUUCUGGCAUCGAUUAAGAACGCAGCGAAAUGCGAUAAGUAAUGUGAAUUGCAGAAUUCAGUGAAUCAUCGAAUCUUUGAACGCACAUUGCGCCCCUUGGUAUUCCGAGGGGCAUGCCUGUUCGAGCGUCAUUAUAACCACUCAAGCCUCGGCUUGGUCUUGGGGUUCGCGGUCUCGCGGCUCUUAAAAUCAGUGGCAGUGCCGUCUGGCUCUAAGCGUAGUAAUUCUCUCGCUAUAGAGUUCCGGUGGUUACUUGCCAAAACCCCUAAUUUUUUAACGGUUGACCUCGGAUCAGGUAGGGAUACCCGCUGAACUUAAGCAUAUCAAUAAGCGGAGGCU